AGUGUCGGUGAGAGACGGCAGAGCAGCUGUGGGACCCCUGGGGGCCACAGCACCCAGAAAUCGUGAUAUUGUGUCCAGGGUUCAAAGGUCUCAACAACCGACCCAAAUCUCCUUAUCCGCAGACCACGAGGUGGAUUUCAAUAGUGAUGGUAUUUACCUGCAUUAUUUCUCCUGUUUGAAAUCUACCCGGUACACCCCCCAUAGCCCCCAAUUCCUGCCCUGUAGAUUCUACCCAAGACCUGGUCAAAUGUUUUCCUCCGUGUAGCUGCCCUGAUUCUAUCUGGAAAUCAGCUCUGGGUGCUGGGAGCUUAUCUGAAGGUCACGUGUGUGUCUGCAGCUGUGCGUCGAAUCUAAAGGAGGCUUACCCUCUAGUGCUUGACGGUCAUUUACCUGCAUAGUCUCCUGAAUAGAUACUAACCCCUUCACUUUGUACCAGCUGAAGACGUGCUUAGUCCUUAGAAAGACAUAACGGGGGGAAAUGGAGAGAAAUUUUUGCAAACGAGAAAUCUGGGUCUCAGCUGGGCCGGCCUGUUUGGAGAGGCCAUGAGACUUGGGUUCAAAUCCCAGCUCCUUCUGUUUAAGAAAAAACAAAACAAAAACUCUAUUAUUACGUGUUAUCUCUGAGGCUGUUCCCUCACGAGCGGUAGUGUGACAAUAUAUUUCUUGCUGGGUGAUUGCAGAGAGAACAGGUCAUGCAUACACAGCCCCUGACAAGAGGCAGACCCAGGGGAGGUGGUGCUGUCCAUCAGUCCCUGUCCUGGCUGGGAUGCGGUGACUUCUUGCCGUCUGUGUCCUGGGUUCCAGGCCUUUCACGGGUUCGCUCUCGUAGGUAUCACAGGGCUCACUUCACAGAUGCGACACCUGCCUCCCCCGGGAGCUAAGCAAUAGUCCAGGGUGAGCCGUGCUGAGGCUGCCGCUGGCCUGAGACACGACGGGAGCGGGGGGCUGAGCCCCACUCACCCCGCCUCUGCGAGGAAAGGAGCAAGGGGGGUCCCAGAAAACUGCCGAAGAUGAAGCAGCGGGGCCCCCCCAGACACCAAAUCUGCCAGGGUGGUGGCCUUGGGCUUCCAGCCUCCAGGGCCGGGACAAGCAGCGAUCUGCAGCCAGAGCGGAGGGCGGCAGGUGGGUCGGCCCGUCCGCGUCUUUGCUUCUCCGACCCUGUGGGGCCGACUGCUCCCGGCGCCGUGGGCUUCAGACCUGGGAGCCGGCCGAGCAGGUGUCUCUGCUUCUGGAUCUCGCGUGGAAACUCUUUGCGAAGGAAGCAGAGGAGUGGAAACCCAGAGUCAUUCGCUCUGACCCGAGCGGCGGGCCUGGCGAGCGACGUCGCGUCAGAACCGGGCAGCCAGCAGCCUCUCUCCGGAGACAAAACGCAUUAUUUCUGGGACAUGCUCGGCCCCCAUCUGCUCGGAGACAAGGGGGGACCCUCCCACGUGCCCUGCGCUGGGCCUGCCUCCAAGUCGACCCCCCAACGCCGAGCUGAACGUUAGGUGACCUUCGGCCGCUCUCGUGGAAACGGGACACGGGAACUAAGUGACCGCAAACGAAUGAACACCUUGAUUAUUUCGCUCUGUGUUCGUGGUCAUAUAAGCAACUGCCGCUAAUCCCCGGUCAGUUUCUAACAAUCUUUGUAAAUCUGUUAUUUGUUUCUUCCUGAGGAUCUCUCGAGCCGUGCCCAUCCUGCUCACUGUUGAAAUUAUAUAUUCAUGAAAAACUUUAAAUGCCCCCCA